rnacentral:lncRNA from 1 species
UCACCGAACGUGCACUACUAUACCGAUUUCAUAUCGAAAUACCCACCUGUACGAAUGUCGCACCUAUCUACUGACUGCGUAAGAAAGUCACCCGGAUCUAAGAAGGGUCCACCGGGUUAGAGUCUAACCCACACAUAGCAAACACUAAAGCCACAACCCCACAACUAAUCCCACGGAGAUCGGUUUCCCAAAACCGACUACCGUAACUCGCCGAAAAUCCCGAAACUGCACCGAGCCUCCGCCGGGACCCACGAACUGUCCCGGAACUCACCGACUCGCUCUACGAGUCACCUACUGCCACUAAACACAAUUAUUCAUGCGACUUGGCAGCAAACACACUGCCUGACAUCGAAACGAUUAUCGUCGGAUAAUCGUUCCAAUCCGGGUUCCCAGAAGUGUCCAAUUCGACACCAGAACCUAACGUCGCUCACCCGUCAUUUCCGAACCCUCAAAACGACGG